rnacentral:rRNA from 1 species
AUUGAACGCUGGCGGCAGGCCUAACACAUGCAAGUCGAACGAGUGGCGGACGGGUGAGUAAUGUCUGGGAAACUGCCUGAUGGAGGGGGAUAACUACUGGAAACGGUAGCUAAUACCGCAUACCAUCAGAUGGGCCCAGAUGGGAUUAGCUUGUUGGUGGGGUAACGGCUCACCAAGGCGACGAUCCCUAGCUGGUUUGGGAGGAUGACCAUGCAAACUGGAACCGAGACACGGUUCAGACUCCUAAGGGAGGCAGCAGUGGGGAAUAUUGUCCAAUGGGGGCCAGCCUUAUUCAGCCAGGCCGCGUUGAUGAAGAAGGCCUUCGGGUUGUAAAGGACUUUCAGCGGGGAGGCUUUACCCGCAGAAGAAGCCCCGGAUAACUCCGUGCCAGCCGCCGCGGUAAUAC